GAUGAAGAACGCAGCGAAAUGCCAUACUUGGUGUGAAUUGCAGAAUCCCGUGAACCAUCGAGUCUUUGAACGCAAGUUGCGCCCGAAGCCAUCAGGUUGAGGGCACGUCUGCCUGGGCGUCACAUAUCGUUGCCCAAUGCCUAUUGCAGUGCAAUAGGAAUUUCUAGGGCGAAUGAUGGCUUCCCGUGAGCGUUGUUGCCUCGCGGUUGGUUGAAAAUCGAGUCCUUGGUAGGGUGUGCCAUGGUAGAUGGUGGUCGAGUUAGAACGAUACCGAUCAUGUGCAUGCUCCCCAAAAUAUGGCCUCUAUGACCCACACGCGUCUUUUGACGCUCAUGACGAGACCUCAGGUCAGGCGGGGCUACCCGCUGAAUUUAAGCAUAUCAAUAAGCGGAGGA
rnacentral:misc_RNA from 1 species